GAUGGAGGCAUUCAAGCCUAGCUGGAAGAGCUACCUUGCCUGAGGCUCCUGGAUUCAUCUUUGCUAGGAAUCUCCUGGGCCAAUUCACUCCCAUGCACAUUGUCCUCCCAGUGAGUAGCUGAGCACCACACAGCCGUGCCUCACUGCAAGAAGAGUAUCAGGCAGUAUGAUUCAUGGAAGGCAUGGUGAAGACCACAGGGCUGGUACCUCGAUGAAGUCCAAACAGAAUUUCUUAAUGACCUGAAUACAGCCUGGCCUCUGCUUUCCUGUGGCCUGCUGUGCUCAGAGUGAGUUGCUCUGGAAGUUAACUUGUUCUUUCCACAAAAAGCACACAGCUCCUUCCCCAUGCAUUGCUCUCAAGCAAGAAGCAACUUUCCAAGUUCUCUUCUAGGAAGAGAUGGCUCCUUGAAGAUCUCUGCCACCACACUGGCACGCUCUGUGUCAUUAACCUCUCCACACCACACAGGAACAGCACAGCAGAAGCAGUAAGAGUCAUUUUUGCAGUGCACUGGAUGGGCCAGAAACGCCCCAGGCCAGCAAGUGCAAAAAUGAUGAUACCUCACUUUCAGUUCUCCUUCCAUCUUGCUGCAGGGCAUUUGGGCCUUUCCAGACAGCUGGGCUUGAUCUCAGAGCUGAGAGCUCUGAGCAGAACUAAAGGUUCCAUCUGUGCUCCAACUUCCCAUGCCAGGACAACAGUCACUGAAAAUUAAGAAAAGUUCACAUGAGCUGUAAAGAAUGAAGCCAGAGAGAAACACUCAAUUUGUGAUCAUCUCUGACAAAAUGGCAUGCAUCUCUUCAGGAUGAACAGGCCAUGUAGCCUGUGCUCCCACAGGCUCCACACAGAAUCCCUUUCUCAGGGGAUAUGUGGAGCUUUGUCACACUUGCUUCAAACACUGGGACAUCCUCAUACACUUAUUUCAUGUGACAGCAAAACAAGCAAGCCAGCAACAAGUUGUCUGCACUGGCAUGGGACUAAGAGUAGAACAUGACAGCUUUUGCUAGCCUGCAC